GGAAGGUGCAAGCGUUAAUCGGAAUUACUGGGGCGUAAAGCGCGCGUAGGCGGCUAGAUAAGUCGGGUGGUGAAAGCCCUGGACUCAACCUGGGAACUGCAUUCGAUACUGCCUAGCUAGAGUGUGGUAGAGGGAGGCGGAAUUCCGCAUGUAGCGGUGAAAUGCGUAGAGAUGCGGAGGAACACCAAUGGCGAAGGCAGCCUUCUGGACCAACACUGACGCUGAGGCGCUAAAGCGUGGGGAGCAAACAGGAUUAGAUACCCUGGUAGUCCACGCCGUAAACGAUGUCAACUAGCCGUUGGGAGCAUUUUGGCUCUUGGUGGCGCAGCUAACGCGAUAAGUUGACCGCCUGGGGAGUACGGUCGCAAAGAUUAA
rnacentral:rRNA from 1 species